rnacentral:lncRNA from 1 species
CCCUGGCUGCCAGCGGGGCCGCCUCGGUGUCGAUGCCUGCGUUAUUUUGCCCGCUCCGCCCCCGCCGGAGAAACCUCAUCCUACUUAUAGUGGCGACCGCAAGCGCCGAGCAGUCAUGAGUCAGCCGUGCCCAGCAUCGCACGGGGAGGCAGCCAUGCUUCUGCUUCUACCAGCCUUCCCAGGAUCUCUUCAACUGCUGCUUCAGCUACGGCAAACAACAGAACAAAUCCCAAAUCAGAGCCCUUGUUCAGCAAAGAUCUACACACAGAAGAAACAGCCUGCCAAAUACAGAGCUCUUAACAGGAUGCUUUCGGCACUCAGGUCUCUACCUAGGCGAUCAAGAUCUUAUGAUAAAACCAAGAAAACAGAAAGAAAAAGAAACCAUCAAUACAAUUCCAAUGGGUGGAGAACAUAAACAAAUCUCAAUGGAGUUUUUAGUUGGAGACAGAGCCCCAGAGCACAUGAUGGAAUGAGCAAAUGCAUGAUAAAAACUUAACACAUUCCCUGAAGCACAAGAAACAGGCUCACAAACUUUGAACAAUCCUCCAGUACCUCCAGUGCUCCUGUUUAGGAUCAGUGCAUUCUUUUGCAUUCUGGUUAAAACCCAGGCAUGGCUGGGUAACUGAAAGGAAGCCAAGCAGCAGAGACAGCUCUGAUGUUACUGUACAAAGUAGUUAUUGCCAUUAGGAGAUAAAGGAACACAGCAAUUGCCCUUAAUUUAGGAACAGAGAGCAGAGGGAUGACUAGCAGCUGAGGGAGUCCACAUGCACAUGCACUAACACAGAAUCUGUAGCAUGGGGGCAAGAGGAUGCAUUUUCAAGAUGACAUGGAAAGAACCCACUUUGAAGUUUCCAGACUGAGUAAAAUCAAUAUCUAAAUGUUUCAGUGAAAAGUGUUUGAUGUUGUCUACAUGUAGAAACCCAAUAGAGGGCACUUAUUAUUGAAUAGUACUAGACUGAGCAAAGUAGGUCAUAUUACAGCUUUGUUGGAGAGGGAGCAUUGUACCUGCCAGAACAGCAUCCUUAAUGCAUUGUAUCUGGCACUGGAGAAUUGGGAGGAUAUGCACCCAAACCACCUGCAAGAAUGACUACAAAGAUGAGCAGAUCUCAUCUGUGCUUGUUUUCUGAAAUAAUCAUUGGUCAAAUUGCCAGAGUCUGUCAAGUGGCUACUUGAACCCAUCUCACAUACCAAGCAUUUGCAGUCUAUUUAUAGAGGGGCUGUGAGUGCCGUGGUGCUGAAGGUCUGUCAGCAUUUCCAUUACAAGGCUCUUAUAAUUUGGCAGUACGAUACCCACUCCAGGCUACAGCCUGGAUGUGAAGGAUGGGCUCUUGUUUUAAAACAAACAGUACUUCUCCUUACCUUUGGGC